rnacentral:rRNA from 1 species
UACAGAGGUCCCAAGCGUUGUUCGGAUUCACUGGGCGUAAAGGGUGCGCAGGCGGUUGUGCAAGACAGAUGUGAAAUCCCCGGGCUUAACCUGGGAACUGCAUUUGUGACUGCACGGCUAGAGUGUGUCAGAGGGGGGUAGAAUUCCACGUGUAGCAGUGAAAUGCGUAGAUAUGUGGAGGAAUACCGAUGGCGAAGGCAGCCCCCUGGGAUAACACUGACGCUCAUGCACGAAAGCGUGGGGAGCAAACAGG